AUGAGCGAUGAGGUACUGGAGUUGCUAUACUUCAUUGCAAGUAGUCAAAAGGAAGAUGCUGAAAAAAUUGAUCUCAACAAAGAAGCUCUUCAAGCUAGCCGGAUGAAGGAAGGAACCAGCGAGGCCACUCCUAUGAGUAUUCGUCCUGUCGCCCUAUAUUAUGAUUUCGAUCUUUAUCAGGGUUUUCAAGUCUUCAAAUACCAUGUAACUGGAAUUAACCGAUGCAAGUCCAAGAAGGAUUGGCUGGUGUUGCCGGCUGGCGUCAAGUUCGAUCCCAUGGAUCAGGAGCUGAUCGAGCACCUUGAGGCUAAAUUGAGUGCUAACAGUGCGAGAUCUCACCCUCUCAUCAAUUUGUUCAUUCCAACCAUCGACAGCGAGCAUGGCAUAUGCUACACCCAUCCUGAGAAACUUCCAGGUAUCACACGAAGUGGCCUAAGCAAGCAUUUCUACCAGCACAACUCCAGGGCGUUCAAAAGGGACACGCGGACGCAUCACAAGAUACAGUCGGAGUGCGGCAUGCACGCAAUGUGGCACAAGACCGGUAAUACCUUGCCGGUGAUGGUCAACGGCUGGCAGACGGGCAACAAAAAGGUUCUGGUGCUGCACACCAACAAAAACUUUGACCAGCAGAGGACCAACUGGGUGAUGCACCAGUACCAUCUGGGGACCUGGAGCAAGAGAAGGAGCGGGAGCUGGUCCUCUACAAGAUUUUCUACCAGACGAACACUAGGUACGCAGGGGAUCCAUCCGGUUUCACAGGCUGAUAGUUGGACGCAGCACGUCGGAACUGGGCUGUGGCAUGCCAAGCCCAGCUGA
rnacentral:rRNA from 1 species